UUUAACCAAAAAGAAAACAAAAAUUAGGUUUAGAUCUACAUUUUUUAAAUGUAUCCCUUCACUUCCUCUGCUGCUUUGGUUGCUAAGUCCCCCUGGCAACAUGAUGCACCGUGAAGCUCAGGAUGAACAUUGCCGUAAACAGAACAAGGACAGGAAAGUUAACAGAAGAUUCUGUAGCUGCAAAAAUACCUCUAGGUGUUCCUGACACUAUGUGCCUAUAGCUGGCUACGGGAUCACAGCAGCCAAAAGCCCUCCAGGAAGAAGUAUGGAAGCAGCUUCAUUGAGGUUGACAUCAAGUCUUAUGUUUUGGGCAUUCAUCUAUCCUCUCUUCAGCUUUUGAUCUAUCACAUCUUGGAUUGACAUUUGGGUUGUUCCAGCCGCAUUGCUCCACCUUACACAGAGAACUCAUCAGGAUGGUACAACUAUUUGUCUAUCCAUGGUAAGGACACAGUCCUCCCUUUUCUUCCCCUACUUUAAAAAAUUUGACUGGUAUGGUUUGGUUUUGUGUCCCUACCCAAAUCUCAUCUUGUAGCUCCCAUAAUUCCCAUGUGUUGUGGGAGGCACCGAGUGGGAGACGAUUAAAUCUUGGGGCAGGUCUUUCCUGUGCUGUUCUCGUGAUAGUGAAUGGGUCUCAUGAGAUUUGAUGGCUUGAAAAUG